rnacentral:rRNA from 1 species
AUGAAGCUUCAAGCCAUGAGCCUUAGCAACUUCACCAACCUUGUCAGUGUAUUCCACGUACUAACAAACAGAGCAACUCACUCACUUUCCAUGGGUGUUCUCCAAGCAGAUGAGCCUGGUGGUGGGGUAGUAGAGCGCCCCGUCCGUGCUCCGGAUGGCGGCGACGAUCCUGUCGACGUCCAUGGUGCCGUCGGGGUUGUUGGGGACGGUCCGGGGGUGGACGCCGCCGAGGGUGGAGAUGCCGCCGUGCUCGUAGACGUGGAUGUGGGAGUCGUGGCCGAGGAUGACCUCGCUGCCCCUGGCGUCGCAGUGCGCGAGGACGGAGAUGAGGUUGGCCAUGGUGCCCGAGGGGACGAACAGCGCGGCCUCCUUGCCCAUGAUCCGCGCCAUCUCCGCCUCGAAGCGGCAGGCCGUCGGGUCGGCGCCCAGCACGUCGUCGUCCACGUCCGCCGCGGCCAUGGCGGCCCGCAUGGCCUCCGACGGCUUGGUCACCGUGUCUGA